AGCCUCCAGAAAGAAAACUAAAGUAUGAUUGGGUUUUUACACCACUGUGUGAGAUAUACCUCCUUCAAACUUUAUUAUAUGAGCACAGUAGCCAGGUGAAG
rnacentral:snoRNA from 1 species